rnacentral:rRNA from 1 species
CAGUCGCCACGGGAAUACGGAGGGUGCAAGCGUUAAUCGGAUUUACUGGGCGUAAAGCGUGCGUAGGCGGCUUCUUAAGUCGGAUGUGAAAUCCCUGAGCUUAACUUAGGAAUUGCAUUCGAUACUGGGAAGCUAGAGUAUGGGAGAGGAUGGUAGAAUUCCAGGUGUAGCGGUGAAAUGCGUAGAGAUCUGGAGGAAUACCGAUGGCGAAGGCAGCCAUCUGGCCUAAUACUGACGCUGAGGUACGAAAGCAUGGGGAGCAAACAGGAUUAGAUACCCGGGUAGUCCCUGUCUCUUAUAC